GUAGGUGGGCAAGCGUUGUCCGGAAUUAUUGGGCGUAAAGCGCGCGCAGGGCGGUCCUUUAAGUCUGAUGUGAAAGCCCACGGCUCAACCGUGGAGGGUCAUUGGAAACUGGGGGACUUGAGUACAGAAGAGGAAAGCGGAAUUCUAAGUGUAGCGGUGAAAUGCGUAGAGAUUUGGAGGAACACCAGUGGCGAAGGCGGCUUUCUGGUCUGUAACUGACGCUGAGGCGCGAAAGCGUGGGGAGCAAACAGGAUUAGAUACCCUGGUAGUCCACGCCGUAAACGAUGAGUGCUAAGUGUUAGGGGGUUUCCGCCCCUUAGUGCUGCAGCUAACGCAUUAAGCACUCCGCCUGGGGAGUACGGCCGCAAGGCUG
rnacentral:rRNA from 1 species